rnacentral:rRNA from 1 species
AUCCUCUGACAACCCUAGAGAUAGGGCUUUCCCUUCGGGGACAGAGUGACAGGUGGUGCAUGGUUGUCGUCAGCUCGUGUCGUGAGAUGUUGGGUUAAGUCCCGCAACGAGCGCAACCCUUGAUCUUAGUUGCCAGCAUUCAGUUGGGCACUCUAAGGUGACUGCCGGUGACAAACCGGAGGAAGGUGGGGAUGACGUCAAAUCAUCAUGCCCCUUAUGACCUGGGCUACACACGUGCUACAAUGGACAGAACAAAGGGCUGCAAGACCGCAAGGUUUAGCCAAUCCCAUAAAUCUGUUCUCAGUUCGGAUCGCAGUCUGCAACUCGACUGCGUGAAGCUGGAAUCGCUAGUAAUCGCGGAUCAGCAUGCCGCGGUGAAUACGUUCCCGGGCCUUGUACACACCGCCCGUCACACCACGAGAGUUUGCAACACCCGAAGUCGGUGAGGUAACCUUUAUGGAGCCAGCCGCCGAAGGUGGGGCAGAUGAUUGGGGUGAAGUCGAACAUGUUGGCCCG